AUACUUACCUGGCAGAGGAGAUACCAUGAUCACAAAGGUGGUUUUCCCAGGGCAAGGCUUAUCCAUUGCACUCCAGAUGUGCUGACCCCUGCAAUUUCCCCAAAUGUGGGAAACUAGACUACAUAAUUUGUGGUAGUGGGGGACUGCGUUCACACUCUCCCCUA
rnacentral:snRNA from 1 species